UACGGAGGGUCCAAGCGUUAUCCGGAAUCAUUGGGUUUAAAGGGUUCGUAGGCGGGCUAAUCAGUCAGAGGUGAAAUCCCAUCGCUCAACGAUGGAACUGCCUUUGAUACUGUUAGUCUUGAGUUAUAUUGAAGUGGAUAGAAUAUGUAGUGUAGCGGUGAAAUGCAUAGAUAUUACAUAGAAUACCGAUUGCGAAGGCAGUCCACUAAGUAUUUACUGACGCUGAUGAACGAAAGCGUGGGGAGCGAACGGG
rnacentral:rRNA from 1 species